rnacentral:rRNA from 1 species
CGCUAGCUACAGGCUUAACACAUGCAAGUCGAGGGGCAGCAUUUUAGUUUGCUUGCAAACUGAAGAUGGCGACCGGCGCACGGGUGAGUAACACGUAUCCAACCUGCCGAUAACUCCGGGAUAGCCUUUCGAAAGAAAGAUUAAUACCGGAUAGCAUACGAAUAUCGCAUGAUAUUUUUAUUAAAGAAUUUCGGUUAUCGAUGGGGAUGCGUUCCAUUAGUUUGUUGGCGGGGUAACGGCCCACCAAGACUACGAUGGAUAGGGGUUCUGAGAGGAAGGUCCCCCACAUUGGAACUGAGACACGGUCCAAACUCCUACGGGAGGCAGCAGUGAGGAAUAUUGGUCAAUGGGCGCGAGCCUGAACCAGCCAAGUAGCGUGAAGGAUGAAGGCUCUAUGGGUCGUAAACUUCUUUUAUAUGGGAAUAAAGUUUUCCACGUGUGGAAUUUUGUAUGUACCAUAUGAAUAAGGAUCGGCUAACUCCGUGCCAGCAGCCGCGGUAAUACGGAGGAUCCGAGCGUUAUCCGGAUUUAUUGGGUUUAAAGGGAGCGUAGGUGGAUUGUUAAGUCAGUUGUGAAAGUUUGCGGCUCAACCGUAAAAUUGCAGUUGAAACUGGCAGUCUUGAGUACAGUAGAGGUGGGCGGAAUUCGUGGUGUAGCGGUGAAAUGCUUAGAUAUCACGAAGAACUCCGAUUGCGAAGGCAGCUCACUAGACUGUCACUGACACUGAUGCUCGAAAGUGUGGGUAUCAAACAGGAUUAGAUACCCUGGUAGUCCACACAGUAAACGAUGAAUACUCGCUGUUUGCGAUAUACAGUAAGCGGCCAAGCGAAAGCAUUAAGUAUUCCACCUGGGGAGUACGCCGGCAACGGUGAAACUCAAAGGAAUUGACGGGGGCCCGCACAAGCGGAGGAACAUGUGGUUUAAUUCGAUGAUACGCGAGGAACCUUACCCGGGCCUAAAUUGCAACAGAAUAUAUUGGAAACAGUAUAGCCGUAAGGCUGUUGUGAAGGUGCUGCAUGGUUGUCGUCAGCUCGUGCCGUGAGGUGUCGGCUUAAGUGCCAUAACGAGCGCAACCCUUAUCUUUAGUUACUAACAGGUUAUGCUGAGGACUCUAGAGAGACUGCCGUCGUAAGAUGUGAGGAAGGUGGGGAUGACGUCAAAUCAGCACGGCCCUUACGUCCGGGGCUACACACGUGUUACAAUGGGGGGUACAGAAGGCGGCUACCUGGUGACAGGAUGCUAAUCCCAAAAACCUCUCUCAGUUCGGAUCGAAGUCUGCAACCCGACUUCGUGAAGCUGGAUUCGCUAGUAAUCGCGCAUCAGCCAUGGCGCGGUGAAUACGUUCCCGGGCCUUGUACACACCGCCCGUCAAGCCAUGAAAGCCGGGGGUACCUGAAGUACGUAACCGCAAGGAGCGUCCUAGGGUAAAACUGA